GGGAAAACUUACAAUAAGAUUAAAAUUUGCAUUUUUUAUAUAACAUUUACAAAUAUUAAAAAAAUAUAUGUAAAUAUAUUAUCUCAAAACAUAUAUAUGUGUAAAUAUAUUUUAGUAAAAUUUGAAAGUUUGAUUUUAAUUAAACAAAGAUAUAUAUUUAUGUUAAUAAUUGUUAUACCUAAUUGUAUUUGAAUAAUUUUUAUUUUAUUAAUUAAAGUAAUGGUUCAUCACCUAAUCCCUUCAACAAAUAAGCUUUGAGUUUGGCUUAAUAAGACUACAUUUAUAGAAUAUGUUUUCUAUCAUUACAUUUAUUGCAGAAAAAGAUUAAAUUUAUAGAAGUUAUAAUUUUUUUUUAAAAAAAAA
rnacentral:misc_RNA from 1 species